rnacentral:rRNA from 1 species
GAUGAACGCUGGCGGCGUGCCUAAUACAUGCAAGUCGAGCGAAUGGAUUGAGAGCUUGCUCUUAUGAAGUUAGCGGCGGACGGGUGAGUAACACGUGGGUAACCUGCCCAUAAGACUAGGAUAACUCCGGGAAACCGGGGCUAAUACCGGAUAACAUUUUGAACCGCAUGGUUCGAAAUUGAAAGGCGGCUUCGGCUGUCACUUAUGGAUGGACCCGGGUCGCAUUAGCUAGUUGGUGGGGUAACGGCCCACCCAGGGAACGAUGCGAAGCCGACCUGAGAGGGUGAUCGGCAACACUGGGACUGAGACACGUCCCAGACUCCUACGGGAGGCAGCAGUAGGGAAUCUUCCGCAAUGGACGAAAGUCUGACGGAGCAACGCCGCGUGAGUGAUGAAGGCUUUCGGGUCGUAAAACUCUGUUGUUAGGGAAGAACAAGUGCUAGUUGAAUAAGCUGGCACCUUGACGGUACCUAACCAGAAAGCCACGGCUAACUACGUGCCAGCAGCCGCGGUAA